GAGGAACUCUUGGUCAACCUCAGGCUCAGAGAUUUCACAAGUGAAGGGUCCUCAGUAGGAGCUCUUCCCCUCGCCUUUGAGCUCAGCACUUCUGCUCCCUCUACUUCCCCUAUUUCCCCCAUAAGGACUCUCUUUCUCUGUUCCCUUAGUUCUUCUUUCUUCUCAGAGAAUCAGAAGCAGUAAGAGAAGAGUCAGCGUACUGCCCCUUGUACUGCCUCCCCAGGUUCCAGACUGAGGAGGCAUGAGGUGAGGUGUCCUUACCCCCUAAAUGCCUGAAGAGGUCCAGAAUGGCCAGAGAAGCCCCACUGCUGCUGUUCCUGAUGUCACUGGGAAUCUCAGGCUCCCAGGAAACAAGAAGUUUGGAUGAGAACUACUUAAGAAAAGAAGGGCAGAUGUUGAAUGUAAGCUGCUCGUAUCCUCUCAAGGACCAUGAGAAGUCUUGGAAAGUUUGGUGUAAACUACAAGAGAAUAGAAAGGAUUGUAACAAAUUAGUGGUCAUAACAAAAUUCUGGGUUUUCACCAAAGAAGGUAAAUUCUCCCUUCAAUUAAUUGAUGAGUCUAAGUCUGGCCACAUCAUCAUCAUAAUGUCAGGACUCAGGGAAAAGGACUCAGGACAUUACUGGUGCAUGACCAUCAAGAAAAACAAUGCCAUUAUCCUCAAGAGAAUCCACCUGGUAGUGUCUCCAGCCCAGAACACCACCAAAGAGAUUUGGACUACUUCAGGAGUCCCUUCCAACACUCCAGCCACCUGCAGUUUCUUAGAAAAGGAGAAAUUCCUCAUUUUGGGUGUGGUCCUGACCUUCCUGCUCCUAUUAGGGGUCCUUAUUACAGGAACUGUGUACAUCAAGAAACUCCACCAGAAAGUCAAGAAAGGUGAUGAUUUCCAUCAAAUGAGCAAUGACUUUGAGAACAAGAGGCAAAAAUCUAGGGGCAUCACCAAGGAGAUGGACUAUGAAGAAGGUCCUGGGGACAUCCAUUAUGCCUCAGUGACCUACAUUGGCCCCAGAGAACCGAUGUGCACAAACACACAGAAGGCAUCCAGCUCGAAGACUAUGCAAAUGCCCUUUGAGUCUGUGGAAUAUGCCAGCAUCACAAGGGCUGAACAUCAGCAUCCCAAAUCAACAGCCAUAUAUGAGUCAAUGGGCAAGGAGAGUUAGUCAUCUGUAGGUGCUUAAUAAAUACAUGUUGAUUGCUAAUAUAGAAAUAUGU
ensembl:lncRNA